UGGGGAAUAUUGGACAAUGGGCGAAAGCCUGAUCCAGCCAUGCCGCGUGUGUGAAGAAGGUCUUCGGAUUGUAAUGCACUUUAAGUUGGGAGGAAGGGCAUUAACCUAAUACGUUAGUGUUUUGACGUUACCGACAGAAUAAGCACCGGCUAACUCUGUGCCAGCAGCCGCGGUAAUACAGAGGGUGCAAGCGUUAAUCGGAAUUACUGGGCGUAAAGCGCGCGUAGGUGGUUUGUUAAGUUUGAUGUGAAAUCCCCGGGCUCAACCUGGGAACUGCAUUCAAAACUGACUGACUAGAGUAUGGUAGAGGGUGGUGGAAUUUCCUGUGUAGCGGUGAAAUGCGUAGAUAUAGGAAGGAACACCAGUGGCGAAGGCGACCACCUGGACUAAUACUGACACUGAGGUGCGAAAGCGUGGGGAGCAAACA
rnacentral:rRNA from 1 species